CCCUUAGAUGUUCUGGGCCGCACGCGCGCUACACUGUUCGACGCAGCGAGUCUUAACCUUGACCGAAAGGUUUGGGUAAUCUUCAGCAAAGUCGAACGUGAUGGGGAUCGAUCAUUGCAAUUAUUGAUCGUGAACGAGGAAUUCCUAGUAAGCGCGAGUCAUCAGCUCGCGCUGAUUACGUCCCUGCCCUUUGUACACACCGCCCGUCGCUACUACAGAGUGCCCGUGUCCAAGAAACGGUCGGACCUGUGCGGCCUCUCCGGGCGACCGGAGGGCCGUUACGGGGAAGACCCUUUAUUUGACGCGGGUCGAUGAAGUAAAAGUCGUAACA
rnacentral:rRNA from 1 species